rnacentral:rRNA from 1 species
UACGGAGGGGGCGAGCGUUAUUCGGAAUUAUUGGGCGUAAAGGGCGUGUAGGCGGCCGCAUAUGUCUCAUGUGAAAGCCCUCGGCUCAACCGAGGAAUUGCAUGGGAAACUGUGUGGCUUGAGUCCGGGAGAGGAGAGCGGAAUUCCCAGUGUAGCGGUGAAAUGCGUAGAUAUUGGGAGGAACACCGGUGGCGAAGGCGGCUCUCUGGACCGGUACUGACGCUGAGACGCGAAAGCCAGGGGAGCAAACGGG